GCGGAGUACAAUAAAACCUCCACAAUGAAUGGGAACACCCCCUUAUCUGAGGGCCACACCCCCUAAGAAUUAGAACACUAACAUAAAAUGAUCCAUUACUUGAUCAAUGAACCAAGUUACCCUGGGGAUAACAGCGCAAUCCAUUUCAAGAGCCCCUAUCGACAAAUGGGUUUACGACCUCGAUGUUGGAUCAGGGUACCCCAGUGGUGCAGCAGCUACUAACGGUUCGUUUGUUCAACGAUUAA
rnacentral:rRNA from 1 species